rnacentral:rRNA from 1 species
GAGCGGCGAACGGGUGAGUAACAUAUCGGAACGUACCCUAUCGUGGGGGAUAACACAUCGAAAGAUGUGCUAAUACCGCAUACGACCUGAGGGUGAAAGCGGGGGAUCGCAAGACCUCGCGCGACAGGAGCGGCCGAUAUCGGAUUAGCUAGUUGGUGAGGUAAAGGCUCACCAAGGCGACGAUCCGUAGCUGGUCUGAGAGGACGACCAGCCACACUGGAACUGAGACACGGUCCAGACUCCUACGGGAGGCAGCAGUGGGGAAUUUUGGACAAUGGGGGCAACCCUGAUCCAGCCAUUCCGCGUGAGUGAAGAAGGCCUUCGGGUUGUAAAACUCUUUCGGCAGGAACGAAACGGUGAGCUCUAACAUAGCUUGCUAAUGACGGUACCUGAAGAAGAAGCACCGGCUAACUACGUGCCAGCAGCCGCGGUAAUACGUAGGGUGCGAGCGUUAAUCGGAAUUACUGGGCGUAAAGCGUGCGCAGGCGGCUCUAUAAGACAGAUGUGAAAUCCCCGGGCUUAACCUGGGAACUGCGUUUGUGACUGUAGGGCUAGAGUGUGG